UCUUAUUUCCUGAGAAAGUUUGGAUGACUCUUGUGUUGAAGAUAAAUCUCCAUGUUGGUGAUUUACUGGAAUCAAACAGCUGAUCUUUAUUUCCUUUCUCCUGCUGUCAGAAAACAAACGGUCGUCUCCAUCAGAGUAAAGUGAGACACAACACAACUCUACUGUUUCUGAGAAAAGGUUCAAGGACCCAUCAGAGACCAGACCCUGCUGAACCUGAACCUGAACCUGGACCUGGACCUGGACCUGAAUGCAGCUGUGUCCAUGAAGAGACACCGUUCCAUGGAGAUACCAAUACUUUCAUAAAAAGACCUUUAAGGGAGAGGCGAAUAGAAAUGGAGGAGAGAGAAAUGGAGGAGAGAGGAUUGAUGGAGAGACUUGAAUUGCAGAAAGAGCAAAUUGAAGGGGAAAUUGAAACGUUAAAAAAAGAAGAUUGAGGACGCAGCAGAAACCAGAGUCUCCUGAACCUGAUCCUGAACCUGAUCCUGAACCUGAUCCUGAACCUGAUCCUGAACCUGAACCCAGCUGUGUGUCCUUCAAGAGUAACAAGUCAAAUGAAUU